rnacentral:sRNA from 1 species
CACAGUUCAGGAUGUAGCCUGGGAUGUCCUGCCAGGUCGGGAUGGGAAACGCUGACUACGUGGCUGCCUUCCUGCACCUGCUGCUUCCACUGGCCUUUGAGGUGACUGCACGGAGGGCUCCCCCAGGGCAGCCGGGUGGGAGGGGGACCUUGUGCCUGGAGUGCGCCAGUGAAGGCAGGAGGAGGGUUAUGAGGUGUCCCACUCCUGUGUGGCUGGGGAAGGUGCUCAGGAGGGGAUGGGAUGGGCCUGGCUCGCCCUCACCCGGGCUCUAGCCCCUCUCUGUCGACCCUCCCCACUCCGGCCUGGCCUGUAGUUUGACCCUGAGCUGGUGCUGGUCUCGGCAGGAUUUGACUCAGCCAUCGGGGACCCUGAGGUGAGGGCCUUGCCUUGCCAGGGAGGGCUUCUGGGGUCCUGGGGCCCAGGUCCCCCGUCACACAUGGCUCUGGUUCCAGGGGCAAAUGCAGGCCACGCCAGAGUGCUUCGCCCACCUCACACAGCUGCUGCAGGUGCUGGCCGGCGGCCGGGUCUGCGCCGUGCUGGAGGGCGGCUACCACCUGGAGUCACUGGCGGAGUCAGUGUGCAUGACAGUACAGACGCUGCUGGGUGACCCGGCCCCACCCCUGUCAGGGCCAAUGGUGCCAUGUCAGAGGUGCGAGGGGAGGUAGGGCGGGCAGGGCUGGGGUGUGAGACCAGGUGUCACGACUGUUGUGUCUCCCCCACAGUGCCCUAGAGUCCAUCCAGAGUGCCCGUGCUGCCCAGGCCCCGCACUGGAAGAGCCUCCAGCAGCAAGGUCAGUGUGGCCGGGUGCUAGGCUGCAGGAUCCCACCUCGGGCUCCCGUGCAGUGGCUAUGACUCCGAACUGUCCCUAGAUGUGACCGCUGUGCCGAUGAGCCCCAGCAGCCACUCCCCAGAGGGGAGGCCUCCACCUCUGCUGCCUGGGGGUCCAGUGUGUAAGGCAGCUGCAUCUGCACUGAGCUCCCUCCUGGACCAGCCGUGCCUCUGCCCCGCACCCUCUGUCCGCACCGCUGUUGCCCUGACAACGCCGGAUAUCACAUUGGUUCUGCCCCCUGACGUCAUCCAACAGGAAGCGUCAGCCCUGAGGGAGGA